AAUAUUUAUGUCCAAUAAAAUUAACAUCAAAAUCUUGAUUUCUAUAACUCGAUCGAUCUAAAAUGAAGAGCAGUUUAUAUAUAUGAGUUAGCAACAUCUACGCAAUGGCUUCUGCAGAGUGAAAGAGAGGAACCUCAUUUUUACGAGCACAAACAUGCAUCGAAGACAUGAGUUAGUAGACAUGAAGCAGCUAGAGACUCACCUGCGGCAGGGGAAGCAACUCUCGAUUUUAGAAGCAACAUAAGCUAGCCUCAACUGCAAAACGACGACGUACCCUUCACUUGUAAAACAUGUUUUCAUACUAAUCCUUCAACAAGGGACUAAUGUUUUCACACUAAUCCAACUUUCCAACAAUUUUGGUUACAAACACAAUUCAGCACUCAGGUUCUCAUAAUCAUCAACAAAAUCCUUCCAUCGGCUCUUUCAUUUGC
rnacentral:lncRNA from 1 species